GGCGGUAUAGCCAAGUGGUAAGGCCAAGGUCUGCAAAACCUUUAUCACCGGUUCAAAUCCGGUUGCCGCCUCCA
rnacentral:tRNA from 2 species